rnacentral:lncRNA from 1 species
CUUUCAAUUAUGUGGAGCCAGAAAAACAGUCCUGAGCCUCAGCCUCCUGAGUAGCUGGGACCACAGGUGUGUGCCACAUGCCUAGCUAAAUUUUUUUUUUUUUUUUUGAGACGGAGUCUCUCUAUGUCGCCAGGCUGGAUGCUGUUGCGGGAAGUCAGGGACCCUGAACAGAGGGACCAGCUGGAGCUGUGUCAGAGGAACAUAAAUUGUGAAGAUUUCAUUUUAAUAUGGACAUGUAUCGGUUCCCAAAAUUAAUACUUUUAUAAUUUCUUACGCCUGUCUUUACUGCAAUCUCUGAACAUAAGCUGUGAAGAUUUCACGGACAUUUAUCAGUUCCCGAAAUUAACACUUAUAAUUUCUCAUGCCUGUCUUUACUUUCCAGCCUGGGUGAAAGAGCAAGGUUCUGUCAAAAAAGGGAGGGGAGGGGAGGGGAGGGGAGGGGAGGGAAGAAAGAAAGAGCGGAGUGAAAUGUGAGUACCACAACGAGUAACAAGCAUUUCAGAUGAACCUGGGGCCCUGGUCCGCUUGCAGCCCAGGCGGUGCAGAGGUGAAGCGACGCUGAACCUUGGGAACCGGCUAGGAGCACCCUGAUUGGCUGCCUGACUUAGGGGGCAGGGUCAGCCAGAGCCAGGUCUUUGACAUCAGGGAAACAAAUCGACAUUUGGUCUUCCCUCCAUCCAGACCAACUGCCUCUGUCUCUCCUCUCAAGUCAGCUCCCACCCACACCUUCAAGAACCAAGUCAAUGCCACCUCCUCCUCCGUGAAGCCUCCGGAUUCACGCUUCCGGCUCUCAGAGCUCUGUUUUUCUUUGGUUUAUCAUUCCCUCUCCACAAGGGCUUUCCGCAGACUACGAGACCUACAGACCCGAAUACACACAUGACUCACUUUGUAUCUCGGUGUCCAGCACUGCUGCUAGACCAAAGGUGAUCAUCAACUUUAACUGAAAGGAAAAAAUAUAGGUGAAUGCAUAUGCAUAUUGCCAUACAUUUUAAUUUGGAGAAUGUUACUUUAGAAU